rnacentral:tRNA from 1 species
CUUCACCUCAUAAUACUUAAACUAGUACACCCAGCACUCUCCACCUCAUGAACGGACCUACUAUCAGGCCU